rnacentral:lncRNA from 1 species
GCUCCGAGGUGGCCCAAUCAGAAAUCGGGAAAGGUGAAGGGCCUGUGCGCAAUCCGAAAGAGGCGAGGUUCUGAUGGAUCGGCAGCGCUUUGGACCAAUGAAAGUCGACAACAGCUUCUAUCUGUCGGCGAUGUAAGCGAGAAGAGAGGAUGAAAAGUUAGGCGGAGCUUAAGGUGACUGGCAGGUGGAUGGACAAUUUGUGUAUUGUCCAAUCAGCACUUCACACACAGGGACACGGGAGACGGAGGCGGGAUUUGGCGUGUAUGUGGAAGAGUGAGUACAACGAGAGUAAUCAUGCUAAAGCACCUAUCGCUAUAGCACAGUAAAACAGCGGAAGAUGCCAAAGGAAGAUGUCUUCAAGGAAAAGAAGGGAAGGAAUGUGAUGGAGGAAACCUGUCAAUUGAGAAGGGAAUGCUUUAGGGUAAGUGGACAGAGAAAAAGGAUCUACUAAUUCAGGUCUCACUGCCAUACCCAGCUGGAGG